GGCUGGGACACAGCAGAAGUACAGUUGGUACUGGAAGCAGGCGCUGAGUUCCUAUGGAACAAUCCAGGUUACUUCAGUUUGGGGCUCUGCCAAGAAAGUGGGAGCUGCCCCCAAGUCUCCCCCCAGCCCUCACCACUCCCCUGAUAUCCUGUCUGAAUUCCUUGCUAUCUGCUGAGCUCUCAGGGUCAAGCUGUCUCCACCGUAAGCUGACCUCCAUCAUGACACCCUCCCCCGCUUCUGAUCGGCAGGGACUCUUCCACCUCUAAAAGGGAAGACGUUGGGUGGUAACUCCAUGCCGGGGGGUUGGGGUGGGGUCUGUAGGGGAACUCCAGGGCAUUGGAAUGAAGCCGCAGUUUGUUACACGCAGACUCUCACCAUUGCCCGGUGGCCAGCUGUCUCUAAUUGUCCGCAAGUCCCUACGAUCCAGUCUCCCAGACCUCCUGGAAUCAGGUCAUGCUCAGUGGGGACCCCCGUCCUCCCAUCCCAUCUCUUGGCGGUUUCCACUCACUCUCCCCACCCGCAGCCCCUUCUGGCCCCCUUUCUAUUCCUCCAUACCCCCUUUGCCUCUGGUCCUGUCCCCUCUCCCCCCCUUCUCCCUGCUUCCCUGCCUGCCUCCUUCUCUGCCCGGCUGCAGUUGGGUGAUAAUCUCCCUCAUUUAGCCUCCCGGCUGCUUCCCCGGCUCAUUGCCCAGCUGGUCCCUGGGGCCCGGCCCAGUUUCUUCCCCACCCCCACCCCCAUCCCUGCGCCCAAGCUCCCUCAGCCUUUCCCUGUUUCUCUCACCCAUUCCCUAGGGACCAGCUGCCCCCUCGGGGGCGGGAGUGGGGUGGGGAAGCAGGGCCGAGGGGAGCUGGCUAGGACCUGAGCUAGCUGUGAGCUAGUAGGAGGGGCUGCCAGCGACCCCGGAGUUUGGAGUGUGGGGAGGGGCUACGGUCCCGGCAGAAUGUGGGCCCCACUCCGGCUCCUCUGCCCUCCAGUUAUCCCCAUUUCUCAGAUGUGUUCACCGCCCAGUUCUCCCCGCCCUGAGAUUCGAAAUAAGCUUCCUGAAACUGAGAAAGAGCAGGUUAGCGAGAGAGGGAGGCAAAGGUCAGAGUGCAUCCGGUUAGGCAAGCCCGGGAAAAGGGUGGAGACAACAGGGAGGUCAGGAUGGAUUAGUCAGAGAUAUUGGGAAGAAACUUGGAAGUUUUACAUGAGCAAAAUGUCUCUCCAAAGGGAGACCCGAGACUCCGGUACAGAACCUGAAGGGUUUCCCAGGGAACCUCUUAACAGUCCAGGGACUCCCCCAAAGGAAGCCUUUUCUGUUCUUUCCUGUCGUUUGAGGGCUCCUGACUCCCCUGGCUGGCUGGCUAGCUUCAUAAACCACACAACCUUUGAACUCCUAAGGAGCAUUCUAUAGAUCGAGUCCCCAGCCUCCAGAUCCCAAGGGACACCUCCUUGACACCCGCCGCAGCUCAGAAACCAGGACCUGGUGCUGACCAGGGGGUGGGAAGCCAGUGUGGGACACAUGUGGGCAGGGAGGGACAAGGAUGGGGGGGGGGGGUGAGUGCCUGGCCAGGCCUGGCUGGCGAGCGAGCAGCAGUGACAAACGGGCUGUGCGGGGGCCGAGGGGCGGGGGGCGGACGGCGGCUGAUUUAUCUGGGUUAUUUAUGCCACGGACGAGGCAGGAGAAGCGGUUAAUGAGAGUCCCGGCGAAGGGGGAUGGGAAGGACCGGACGUGAUCUGAGGCAACUGAAGAGGGUUAGCGUCCCAUCGCCAGGCCCUGCCCCCACUGUCACCAGUACUCUGCACCCCCACAGGGCCCUCCCUGGGCUAUCCCUGGGAAGCAUCCGCUCCUCUGCCUUGCGCUCACACAAUCUAUCCCUACUUGGGUAUUCUCAAGCGGAGGUCAUCGGUCACCAGGAAUGGAGAGGGUGGGAUUGAAGCUUAGGGAAAUCCUGGAGGAACUAGGGAGGGGACGUGGAAGGGGAGGGCGGAAGAAGAAAGAUACACAUCCUGACUGGCUGGAAACGGACGAAGUUUAAGGGGUCAGUGGAGAGGGCUGAGGUAGAAGAGGGAGGGUGGGAGUAGGUAGGCAGCCCACAGACCCUGAGCAGACGCUAGAGACAGGGCAAAGGGCCUUUAGGCACUAAUCUGGUGUCAGACAGGGAGCCCCGAGAUGGGGGUCUGAGUGACAGAGAGGCUAGGCAGGAGGUGGCGCUGGUCGGAGAGCAGAGAGAACAGGAAGGAGGGAGAGAAGAUCCAGGGAAGGAGGGGGAGAGGGCUUUGCUGCAGCGAAAGCUGCUGGGAGCAGAUAAGGCAGCACGGCAGCAGGAGGGAUUAAAGCUCCGAGGGGCAUGGGGGGGUGGUGCCGAGUGGGAUGAUGGGAGGGGGCAGGGAGGAGAGGGUUGAGGGCAAGACACCGGCCACAGAGAUGAGCAGGGAAAGGAGAUCUUUGAGGAGGCAGGUUUAAUCAGGGGCUAUUAACUAGGAGAGGAGAAAGAAGAAAACUCUUGAUCAUCCGUUCUGGGAAGGAGGACUUUCCGGUCAUGAACGUUUCUACACCCUACACAUGCCUGGGGUGGCAAAGCUAAGCCAAGCGAUGAACCGGAGAGGGUAGAGGACUGCCAGAUAAUAGGGUUGGCAGAGGCUGGCCCCUGGAGCCGCUCAGAACGGAUUUGGAGCUACUGAGGGCACACAGCGCCGCCUUGCGGUGGCCAGUGGAACACGAGAGUCACAGGAAUAGGUCCACUGGCAUAGACCCUCACCUGACUAGGGUAGGCCUCCUUACGGGGAGGGGUACAAUCUUGGAAAAGGAGUAAGUUGCUACCCGGGAUGGGUUCCCAAGGCAUCCCUUACCAUCCCUUGACCUACUAGAAAGGUGUUCUUGGUGCCAAUGAAACCCCUUGCUCCCCUAAACCUAGCCUAGGAUAGUUCAGAGAUGGCUUGGUGACAGAAGGCAGCCUUAGUGGGAAGAAAAGGAAAGAGAGGGGGGUGCGGGAGGGGAGCGGAGGUGGCAGGCGGGGCCGGGUAAUUGCGUGUUUGCCAGUUCUCAGUCUCUGCACACAGGGAGCGUGUGUUGGUGGGUGUUGCUUCCCUUUGAGGAGUGUCUGUUGGCAGAGGUGUCAGUGUGUCUAUCUCAGGGGUCUGGGCUCUCCUUGGUUCCCACCCCCUUUUUGUUUUGGGGAGUAUGGCUCUGGGCACACCCAGCUGUGUUCCGUGCUGAUGCGGCAGAUGUGGCGGGCCCCAGCUGUGCCUGCUUCCCAGAGAGGGGGAGGAGGCUGCAAUCUGCUCCCCCAUAAUAGCUGCUAAGUGCCAGGGGGAGGGGCUCUGAUAGAGGUAGGAUUGGGACCUGGGCAGCCCCAACAGGACGGAAGUGAGAGGGAGCACCGACUCCCUCAGCCCCACUCUGACCAGUCCCCCCAACCCUAGCCAGUGUUCUUGGCUCUCUGUCUCUAUCUUGCUUGCUCCUGAAGCCCAUCCAAAUUUCUCUCCAUACUCAGUCCCUGUCCUCAGCUCUCCUUCCCUGUCACCCCAUCCAGCUUGAUGCCAGGGACCCACCCCCCCUCCCUGGCCCCCAGCUCGCUCCCCUUCACUGAUUUCACAGAAUAAUCUUUUUAUGGAAACCAGGAAAAAAAGCACUAAUGGCAGGAGCGCACCCCUCCCCCGCAUCCCUCCCCCUGCUCACCCCCCCCACUUCCCACCCUAGUUGCUUCUGAUUUCUCUCUUCUCAAACCCACCCCUGAACCAGCACCCUCCUAUACCCUACACCUCUAUGAGGCUAAUGAAGGUUGGGUGCAGGUCCCCAAAGGAGCAGAUAAGGGGACUCCCUGCUACCCCUCUCCAGACAGGGUGCUCCCACAUCUUGGGCUGUGAGCUGCCCCCUUAGACAGUUGGGGCUUUGGCUUCUCCCAAUGCAGAGGAGUGCUCGGAAGGACUGAGGGUGUCACCCCCUCACCCUUAAGACACUUUGCACCUGUGACCCCCCCCCCCCAGCCUGGGCAAUGUGUUGAAUGUUUCAGCUUCCCUACUCCACACCACCUUCAAACACUGACCCUCUCCCCUUCCAGAGCCUCUUGCCAUCACGUCUCCACCCCCACUGGGUCUAGGAGGGGGGUCCGGGGGGCCAGGGCCUGACACAGACUUAUUGGAUUUCACGGUGUUUUGCUGAGAAAAUAAUUAAAUUAUCAUAUUUAUGAUGGAGCUGCCAUGGCCUCUGCCAACCACUUGGAACAGAAGGGUCAGGGUAGGGGGAGGAGAGGAAAGGGACCCAUAGCCUGGCCUUGUGGUCCAACCCUCUCCUGGCCCCUUCCUUAGGGAGCUGACCCCAGGCUGAAUGGGUCUGCAACUCUGCUGAUGGUUGCAGACAUGACAGUUGUCUGGGUUGGAGGCAGGCUGGGAAGAAACUAGAGAAAGAGGCUAUGGAGGUUACAGGUUAGAAUUGCUAAGACCUUGGGCCACCUCCCAUGGGCCAUCCAGCCCUCGUGACAUGGGAGGUCAUCUCUAGGGCAGUCCCCAGGUCAGCCUUGGUCCAGUUCCCAUAUUUCUUUUUAACUGCCUGCCUAGGAAACUAUGAAAUCCUGAGCUCUGUCCCAGCCCCUGGUGUUGACAACAAGGUCCUGACACCCUGCUGCCUGCCACCCAAGCCGGCUGCCAGGACCCCCUCCUGCCUCCCACCCAAACCCUGCCCCCCUAUUCUCUUCGGGUAAUUAGAUUCCUCUCAAUUAGCAGAUUACGAUCAUUACCAGCUCAUCUGGCAACUAAACUCAGCACCCACAGCUGUGGAAAGGGGGGUGCCAAGAGGGGCACACUCGGGUCAUGGGCAAACAUGGAGAUGUGGAGAGCAGGGCUAGGACCCACCAGGUAUCAGACUGCCAGGAGGUAAAGGGGCCUAUUCUAAAUCAGACCUCUGACAGGGGAGGGAGACGGAUUCUGGAAGACCCCUGGGUAGGGCCAAAACCCCCAACUCCCCAAAGCCAGCCUGGGAGCAGAUGGAGCUGGCAAAGCGUUAAACAGGCCAGGGCUGGGUCUUGGCGUGGAGCUGAGGAGAGCAGGCUGCUGGGUGUUCAGCCUGGGUCCAAGCCUCCCAGCAAGUGUGCCCACUGAAAUCCUUCAGCUUUCAGCAUUCUGGAAAGCCAGGCCCAGGGAGGCAGGCAAGCAAGCAGGGUGAAGGUCGUGGGGGCCAGCAGGCCAGGGAGCCUGGAGGGCCUUCCUCUAAAACAGCUAGUGCAGAAGGCUGAGGAAGUGGGAGGGGGAGAUUUACCAAGACUCCGAAUUCAUUAUUCAUGAGCCAGCAGCGACGACUCCAAUUUAAAUGCUAAUGUGGGGGGUCCUGACUCAGCUGCCCCUCUUGUACCUCCACCCCCAGCCCAGGCACAAGCGGAGUCCAAGCUGGCUCCAAGGUUCACAGGGGUUUAUUUGGGGGUGGGGAGGGAGGCCAGGUGUCCCCAGCCACACACAUGGCUCCCUAUGAGGUGGCUUCCUCAGGUCCUUUCUGGACAGAGCUGGUCAGGCAGGCGGCAUCCCACAGGAGAGUGGGUGGAGUCCUUGGGCAGCACCUCACAGAAUGAUUU
rnacentral:sRNA from 1 species